CAUGGAAAGGGUGGCAUCUAGUAAGACAUCAGUAAGCACUGUACUUCCGAGUUCUGUUUGUCUUUGUUAAGAGGAAUUGUUGAAAAUUUAGUUUGCCAUAUUAUAAAUCAGAAGAAGAAUAGCUUUCAUUUUCUUUUAUAUGCACACUUCAUAUCAAGAAAAAAUGUGUUUUCUGUUGAUUCUUUAUUGUUUGUAAUUGUGGAAUUACUACAUUUCUUGUUCUGUUAGGAGGCAAAUCUUAUAACUAGAUUGAUUGGUUGGCAGAACUAUCUUGUUUCUUCAUUAUAUUUGUGUAAUGUGAAGGAAAAUGACUACACUUUGUUACACAUUCUUACAUGGCAUUUAAACUCAUCUGUGCCAUUUUCAAGUUCAAGAUUUCCCCCCUCUCGUUUUCAGUUUUUUUUUAUUUUUUUCUUAUUUUUUGCUAACUGAAAAUCUUAAUCAGGCUAAAGCAGUUGUAAUUGGUCUUGGAGCUGGUUUGCUCCCUAUGUUCCUUCAUGGAUGCAUGCCCUUUUUGCACAUUGAGGUAAUACUGGGUUUACAUUAUGAACCACUUGUGGAUUUAGAGUUAUUAUUUCAUCAAAUAUGAAUAAUUGUAAGUGGUGAUAAUUUGGUUGUGCUUUAUGGGAUAUAGGUGGUGGAGCUAGAUCCGGUGGUUCUUGAUCUUGCAAAGGGGUACUUUGGUUUUACUGAAGAAGAUCAUUUGCAGGUAAGUUUACUGAUCAUGCAAUCAUGAUUCAUGAUUCCUUCCCCCUUCCCAUUUUGUCAUGUAAAAAGACAUUUUGGACCAUUUUAGUACUAUUUGCCAAAAAAAUUAUAUGCAUAGAAAAAGAACUUUGGCUGGACCAUACCUGUGUGUAGGGGUGAAAAUUUGGGAAUGAAACUCAGGGUCCAAUUUCUGAUCCCUCUAGUUAAGUUUUCUUUGUACAUUAGUUCUUAGGUGCUACACUGCACCUUCUGUGGGAAUGGUAGACUGCCGCGGACCAUUAGUUUUACAAUUCUAGUUGGCUAAUGAGUUUUUUUUUUUUUUUUUAAAUCACCAAUUGAUAGUUUUUUGUACUAUGUACUGUAUUGAUGACUUCUAGAUUCUAUUUGGUGCAUGCAUCAGGUACAUAUUGCAGAUGGUAUCUAAUUUAUUAGAGAUAGUCAAAAUUGUGCAUCAGCUAAUGUGGUUUUAAUUCCUGGAAAUAAUAAUGCUGUUGCUGCUUCUAAUGGAAUUUGCACGACAUUUCUCAAAGAAGGCGGUGUGAAUACAAAGGUGGACAUAAUCAUCAUUGAUGUGGACUCUGCAGAUUCAAGCUCUGGUAUGACUUGCCCCGCUGUGGAUUUUGUGGAAGACUCGUUUCUGCAUACUGUAAAGAAGAAUCUUUCUAAAAAUGGUCUACUUGUUAUUAAUUUGGUUGCACAGUCCCAAGCUAUCAAGGACCAAGUUAUUUCCAUAGCAUUUUUCUUGAUGUAAUUUGUGAUGCUAGAUAAUAACAAUAAAAUAUUUCUUUGUUUAUUUUGCAGAUGUGACAAGCGAAAUAGAAAAUAAUACUUAAUUUUGAAGGCUUUGUGUUGGGCAGCUGUAGAAUAUUUUGUGCUGAAAGUAGUAACUUUUCAAUAUGUUGAAUAUUUAAGACUACUUGAAUACUUAAAUAAUAUUUUGUUGUUGAUGACAGUGUUGAAUGUUUUAAACUAAUUUGUAGAUUGUUAAUACAAUGUUGAAUGUUUUUA